rnacentral:misc_RNA from 1 species
GAUGAAGAACGCAGCGAAAUGCGAUAAGUAAUGUGAAUUGCAGAAUUCAGUGAAUCAUCGAAUCUUUGAACGCACAUUGCGCCCGCCAGUAUUCUGGCGGGCAUGCCUGUUCGAGCGUCAUUUCAACCCUCAAGACCCCUUCGGGGGACUUGGUUUUGGGGACCGGCACAGGGGCCUGCCUGCUUGUCUUGCAGCGCCCUCGCCGCCCCCGAAAUGAAUUGGCGGCCUCGUCGCGACCUCCCCUGCGUAGUAGCACAACCUCGCAACGGGAACGUGACGGCGGCCACUGCCGUAAAACAACCCCAAUUUUAUUAGAGUUGACCUCGAAUCAGGUAGGAAUACCCGCUGAACUUAAGCAUAUCAAUAAGCGGAGGA